rnacentral:rRNA from 1 species
GGUUGGUGUCGGCGUAGGGAGGGAGGGGGCAGAGCGCAGCGCCGUCGGUCGUUUCUCGAGAGGGGUCAAGGCUUGGGGCGGCUCUCGAGGGAGGGGGGUUUUUACGGGAGGCGGAGCGAGGAGGGGCAGUGGAGGCGGCCCCGCGUCGGGACGGGGUGGUACCGCGGCGGGGCGCCGGCCGCGGCUACGACGGCGCAGUGCCGGCGGAAGCGGGGCAGCGGAAGGCAGCCGGAGCCGGAGCCGGCGGCGCGGCAGAGGGAGCGGCCGCAGCGGCGGACCGAGCGGUGAUGGCGGCCGGCAUUCGUACGAUGAUGUUAUAAAGUUACCCGUCGAGCGGACACACAAAACCCGCUCGACACACGCUACACUCACUUUAAACGGCACAGUGCCCACAACGUCCCCGACUUCGGUCAGGCAAGCUGUUGAUGCAGUUCUUCUUCUUCGACCUCGGUAACCUCUGCAUGCAGGGCCGACACGACGACUGGGUUCUGGUCAAGUCCCUAGAUCUCUUUAGGAACCUUAAGCUCUUCGGUUCCAAACUACUCUCAUCUAGUAACGAAGCAAGACCAGGUCGUAGUAGAGAUGCGUAGUUAUAAGCCCGUCACCGUGUUAUACGAAGGUCAUUACCGGUUCCGUUUUGACGGAGACUACGUCACCUACUUACGAAUGCUCGCAACCUUCUAGAGCUGAGCGACGAUGAUUUCCGAAGUGCUUUUCUGAGCAGUCGUAGACAACUUCAGUACUCCUCGUUUUAGCGACAUCGGGAACCUCGUGAUCUGUUGGAGGACGUUUGGCACGGUAGUCGGCAAUACCUAUUUCCUUUCCGUUAACGACUACGUAUGUCCUGGGGAAGUCUACCAAUAAUACUUCUCCCAUUACCGCGUCUCAACCUGGGGUCGGACUUUGUCGACGUCCUGUAAGAAAUUACGACUUAGAACAAGUUCAAUUGUGUAGAACACAACAACUCAAGGAAGUCAUACUAACAUAACGUUUCAUCUUGGUUCAAGCAUCGUCUUAUGCAUGGACGCCGUCAGGAAGAUCUCUUAUCAUAAUAAUGAAAAGUGACAUCAUUUGACAUGUAGUCUUGUGGCAAAAAGAUUACAAAAUAUGGACUGACAGACAUGUUUAAUUU